rnacentral:lncRNA from 1 species
GUUGGUAUUUGUGAGCGAUAUGAUCGAGCUACGUGCGGAAAUAUUCCCAUCUUUUUUCUGCACUGUUUUGUUUACUUGUUCAGUGAUAAAUGAAUGAUGCAAAUAUUGAUCAAAAGUUCGGAGUGCCAAAUACGUUCUUCCCUUGCCAUCGGUGGCUAUUUGAAUCCCGCUGUUUCUCGCUUCUAACACGGUUGGUUUUGAUAAUCAUUCCGAUACUACCGAAAUUUUCCCAAAGGGAGAAAAAAUCAACGAUUUCCAACACUCCAGCGGGGGAAGUGUGAAAAGUUGGUGGAACCAACCCAGGUAGAGUUAAAUGGCUGCUACCGUCAGCUAAAACUUGAAUGCCGCCUACGAAUUUCUUGAAACCGAUAACAUUUAUUGACGUGAAUGAUCAGAAUGGGACAACUUCCAGGAGCAUCCAUAAAACCUACAGGGAAAGGAAGUCUGGUGGUGCAGAUCAGGCGGAAAAUUGUGGCCAUGCAACAACACAAGUAACCUGGCAGCAUACUGAAUCAUCUCACAAAAAAUUUUGUGGUUAGUGUAGUGUGAACAUCCAUGAAAUAAAUUCAUUUGAAUAGACAAUUGCAAUUUAA